UCAUAGACUUGCUUUCCCUGAGCUGCAGUUUUACAAGAAGGGAAAUCCAUCCGUGCAUCUGUUAUGAAAAUCAUGCUGAGGUGAAGAACAUUGUCUGUUGUCAUGUGUCGCUUCUCUGCCUAUACAGUAGUCCCUCCUUAUCCAUGGUUUUGCUUUCUGAGGUUUUAGUCUCUCGCGGUUAACCGCAGUCUGGAAGCAGAUGGUCUUCCUGACAUAACAGAAAGUCACAACAGCCUCACACGAUGUCACAGUGCCUACCUAGAUCAUUUACCUCACUUCAUCUCAUCAUGCAGGCAUUUUAUCAUCUCACAUCAUCACAGGAAGAAGGUUGAGUACAGCACCAUAUAAUAUUUUAAGAGAGAGACCACAUUCAAAUAACUUUUAUUAUAUCAUAUUGUUAUAAUUGUUGUGUUUUAUUAUUAGUUAUUGCUAUUGAUCUCUUACUCUGCCUAACUUAAAAAUUAAACAUUACUAUAAGUAUGAAUGCAUAGGGAAAAAAAACAUAGAACAAUAUGUACUUUCUACAGUUUCAGGCAUCCACUGGGAGGGUCUUGGACUGUAUCCCCUGAGGCUCCUAAGUGGGGGCCACAGUAUUCUCCCAUUAGCGAUUUGCUUCAGAAUUCAAGGGAAAGAAAAGCUUUGUUUCAGGUGAGGAAGUGGACUGGCCACUGUACUGAGAAGUCGAACUCCAGUGUUGAUCGUUGUUGGCGGACAGCUUUUAAGCCUCUCCCAUCUCCCUCUGUCCCUUGUGCCCAUAUUUGAACAAGCUGAUAACAAAGCCCCUUCUUUGGUGCCUGUGGGAGAUGCAGACCACCACAAGCACUCAGGAACCUUCACCCAGGCUCAACCCCUAACAAUAAAAACUCAAGCCAGGCCCCUGCCCUCACUCACCAGCCAUUUCAGUCUGCUUGAGAGGAGGCCCCUGCUCUCCACUACACCUCAGUGAUACUAGUGUGCUGUACAUCUGUGGACCCCUCCAAGGCAGGCAGAUGGGCAUCUCAUGGUUUGGACUUGACCUCCGAGACCGAGCUGGGUGCAUCUGGAUGAGACUCAACCACAAAGGGGCCCAGGAUGAGAAAAGGAUCACAGCUUCCAUACCAUCCCAGCAGACGGACACCUCCCUCCUGCAAGGAGGCCCUGAGACCAUCAUCCUUUCUCUUUUCACAUCUACAAAAUGUAAAGUCAUCUUCCAUUGAAUUGAUUUUUGAAAGGCUCUUUACAACAGUAUGCUGAAAUGCAUUCUGGAAAUGCACAGAUUAGAAUCUUACUUGACAAAAGGACAACACUCAGUGGCACACACAGUGAUUCAUUUGUAUCUCAAAAUCGCUUUUAUUUCCCACUUUUUCGACAGCUUCUAAAUCCACAUAGAAGAUAAUUUAUUUCAUCAUUAAAGCACCCCACUGUUAGAGGCUAAUUUAUAAGCAGAAUAAAUUAUUUCAGGGGCAUAGAACAAAGGCCAAGGAAGCUCCCACUUUAAACAUAUACACACACAUCCAUAUCCCCUUGGGGGGAAAGCCCUAAAUGGAAAUUUGUGUUUUUUUUAUCUCAAAGUUCUGAGCCCUUUGACUGAAAAUUCAUAUUUCUUGGCAAAGAACAAAUACAUGAUAUGGUGCUCAAUCUCACGAGAAGUCUGGGAAAUACAAAUUAAAGCAACAAUGAAGUAUCCAUAUUCAACUACCAGCUUGAUAAAAGUUUACAGACCAGGAACAUGCUGUGCUGGUGCGGAAGUGGAAAACCCCUUCUCAUUCAGUGGUGAUGGGAGUUUGAACUGCUACAAACUUUUCAUAAAAAUGA